GAUGAACGCUGGCGGCGUGCCUAAUACAUGCAAGUCGAGCGAACGGACGAGAAGCUUGCUUUUCUGAUGUUAGCGGCGGACGGGGGAGUAACACGUGAAUAACCUACCUAUAAGACUGGGAUAACUUCGGGAAACCGGAGCUAAUACCUGAUAAUAUUUUGAACCGCAUGGUUCAAAAGUGAAAGACGGUCUUGCUGUCACUUAUAGAUGGAUCCGCGCUGCAUUAGCUAGUUGGUAAGGUAACGUCUUACCAAGGCAACGAUGCAUAGCCGACCUGAGAGGGUGAUCGGCCACACUGGAACUGAGACACGGUCCAGACUCCUACGGGAGGCAGCAGUAGGGAAUCUUCCGCAAUGGGCGAAAGCCUGACGGAGCAACGCCGCGUGAGUGAUGAAGGUCUUCGGAUCGUAAAACUCUGUUAUUAGGGAAGAACAUAUGUGUAAGUAACUGUGCACAUCUUGACGGUACCUAAUCAGAAAGCCACGGCUAACUACGUG
rnacentral:rRNA from 1 species